rnacentral:rRNA from 1 species
CCUACGGGAGGCUGCAGUGGGGAAUAUUGGACAAUGGGCGAAAGCCUGAUCCAGCCAUGCCGCGUGUGUGAAGAAGGCCUUCGGGUUGUAAAGCACUUUCAGUGGGGAAGAAAGCCUUGGGGCUAAUACCCUCGAGGAAGGACAUCACCCACAGAAGAAGCACCGGCUAACUCCGUGCCAGCAGCCGCGGUAAUACGGAGGGUGCGAGCGUUAAUCGGAAUUACUGGGCGUAAAGCGCGCGUAGGCGGUCUGAUAAGCCGGUUGUGAAAGCCCCGGGCUCAACCUGGGAACGGCAUCCGGAACUGUCAGGCUAGAGUGCAGGAGAGGAAGGUAGAAUUCCCGGUGUAGCGGUGAAAUGCGUAGAGAUCGGGAGGAAUACCAGUGGCGAAGGCGGCCUUCUGGACUGACACUGACGCUGAGGUGCGAAAGCGUGGGUAGCAAACGGGAUUAGAUACCCGGUAGUC